CCUACCCCUAGAGGCAUUGCAGGUAUGGCUGAUGUGUCCCAUGUGCAUCAGUAGCUGGCAGAGAAGAGGCUAUGUCUAUGCUUAGUGUUCUGGUCCACGAACAUCUGAAUUAUUAGUAUCCUAAUAUU